rnacentral:sRNA from 2 species
AGAUUACAACAACUAUGGAAAAUCCAACUGAAAAAACAACCAACGAGACAAGACGUUUCUAUAUUUAUGAUCCGGAAACAGAUGAGAUACUUGCUGAAUAUAAUGGACAAGUUCCAAAACAAGCAGCGCAUAGUUUUUUUAUGGAAAUGUUGAAAUCAUCAAAAAAAAGGAUGAUCUAACUAAAAUAAUUACUGUUAGUAAAGAUGCAGAAAAUGGAUUUCCUAAAUUUUACAAGUAUGAAUGUGUUCGCAAAAAACUUGACAAACCACAAACGAUCGAUUAUUUAGUAUCUGAUAGCGAAACUGACAAACCACAAAAACAUAAAUCGCUUGAAAUAAAUGGAAAAAAAGUAGUAUUGAAUUAUUCAAUAAGAACACGUAAAAUACCAAAUGAUAUUGUCAAAUAUGGAAUUGAAACAGAAUCAGGUACUGAAUAUAAAUCAAUCAAGUCGGAUAAUUUAUUUAAAGCAUCGCAAAUUGCCAUUGAAAAAAUUAUAAAGAAAGAAAAACAAAGAGGUAAAGAAAUAGAAUUUUAUUUGAGUGCAAAUCAAGGAUGUUAUCAUAUUAUUGCCACUAAAAAUAAAAAAGGUGAAUAUGUUCCAAAACUAAUAACAAAAGAUGAUCUAAUAAAAAUGAUGAUGGAUAAAAUCAACAAAAAAAUAAAUAAAUUAGUUAAUACAACAUAAAAUUGAAAAUUUUUUAUCCAAAAAACUAUUUAGUCUGUUAAAA